AUUGCACGCUGGCGGCAGGCCUAACACAUGCAAGUCGAACGAGUGGCGGACGGGUGAGUAAUGUCUGGGAAACUGCCUGAUGGAGGGGGAUAACUACUGGCAACGGUAGCUAAUACCGCAUACCAUCAGAUGUGCCCAGAUGGGAUUAGCUAGUUGGUGGGGUAACGGCUCACCAAGGCGACGAUCCCUAGCUGGUCUGAGAGGAUGACAAGCCACACGGGAACUGAGACACGUGCCAGACUCAGACGGGAGGCAGCAGUGGGGAAGAUGGUACAAUGGGCGCAAGCGUGAGGCAGCCAUGCCGCGUGUAUGAAGAAGGCCUUCGGGGUGUAAAGUACUUUCAGCGGGGAGGCGUUACCCGCAGAAGAAGCACCGGCUAACUCCGUGCCAGCAGCCGCGGUAAUAC
rnacentral:rRNA from 1 species